GAAGAUGGGGUGAUGUAGACUGCCGAAUCUGGCCUUGCCUCUGGAUUCCUCUCCUGAUUCCAGCGGUUCAGAAUGGACAACUACUUCUAUGGAUCCAAUGGGACCGGCAACCAUCGAUGCCUCAGGCCACUAUUCUGUUUAUUAUUAGCAGCCCUACGGAACUAAAAAGAAAAGAAAAGUCAAUUCAGCCCACCCCCUGGGAAUCCAAUGGUGGAGUCAACGAAGAUCUUUCUUUUGCUUUCUUUCAUGAUCUUC